rnacentral:snRNA from 10 species
CAUCAGGCUAUUUUUUGGAUAUUGAUGAUACUGUUAAACUGAAUAUCAUGGCCCCUGUGCAAGGAUGACACACAAGUUCGUGAAGCAUUCCAUAUUUUA